AGGUGAUUAACUAACUACCACAACAACAACCAGUACUAGGUGAUUAACUAACUACCACAACAACAACCAGUACUAGGUGAUUAACUAACUACCACAACAACAACCAGUACUAGGUGAUUAACUAACUACCACAACAACAACCAGUACUAGGUGAUUAACUAACUACCACAACAACAACCAGUACUAGGUGAUUAACUAACUACCACAACAACAACCAGUACUAGGUGAUUAACUAACUACCACAACAACAACCAGUACUAGGUGAUUAACUAACUACCACAACAACAACCAGUACUAGGUGAUUAACUAACUACCACAACAACAACCAGUACUAGGUGAUUAACUACCACAACAACAACCAGUACUAGGUGAUUAACUACCACAACAACAACCAGUACUAGGUGAUUAACUACCACAACAACAACCAGUACUAGGUGAUUAACUACCACAACAACAAC